UUCCUGAAAUAUAUAAAGGACACAAAAAGGAGAGGAAUUGUCGUGCAAUCUACCCUGUAGAUUUUACCUCUAGGAUCAUCUAUCUAGUAUCUGUGCCCAAUAUCAGAAACAGAGGUGCCAGUAACAAGGAAUUCAGCUUCUGUUUCUCUUGAAGCUUACUAAUUCACUGCCCAGAAAAAUGCCAAAGAGUGGCAAGAAAACAUCAAGGCCUUCAUGGCUGCCCUCUUCCAAGAAAAUACUCUUUUAACUCCAUUCUUUUUCCUCCUUCCAUAUUAACCAGAGAAGUGCCAAAGUUUGUGAGAAAACAUCACUGGUAACAUUUGCCCAUAAAAGCAAACAAGAAAAACAUGCUAGUGAGAGUGGGCAUUCUCAAUCAAAUAGCUGUUGGAUGAUAUACUUAAAAAUGGUUAAAGCACCCAAAGUGAAUGUUCAAAUAAUUAAUGAACAUCUCCAUCUUUCAAUUAUUUUUGGCACAUAAAGCAGAAGUACUGUCCAAAGUCUUCAAAUACAAUAUUUAU
rnacentral:lncRNA from 1 species